UGGAAGGAGGCUUCCCCCUGGGUC
rnacentral:piRNA from 1 species